rnacentral:lncRNA from 1 species
ACAAAUUCAACAGUGUUGAUUUUUUUUACCACCAUUUUAAGUUUUUAUAAACAAAGAAAAGUUUCCAUCUUUAGCACAUUUGUUUAUAUUGCAAAAUAUUACCUUACACCAAACAUGGCAUAUUUUGUGAAUUAAAUUAGAGAUCAAGAUUCUCUUUAAUCUCACAAUUUGUGGAGUCAUGUAGUCAGCAAGCCGAGACAAUUUGUUUGUUUGAGACCGUUCAUUAGAUCGAAGAUCAGAUGAGUUAGGUUUAAGUUAAGAAAAUCUAAUUUAAAGAAUUAAAAAAAAAAACUAACUCAAAAUUUGCAGUGUUUGAUAUCAU